CAUUUAGUUUCUUCACCGAGUUGCAGAGAAUUUCGUUAUGUCGAUUGAACGAUUCCCAAUCGAUUCAUCAUAUUUGCUUAUGGUUCUCAAACAAUCAACAGUUCAUACAAUGAAUCACUAGGAGUCCCCCUCCCCCAACCCCCUCUAAUGUCUCUCGAUAACAUAAACAUCUUAUCAAAAUAGGGAUUAAACGCAAUUGCAGCGGAAUACAGAAAGUUUCUGAUUUUAGGCAAUGUUAUUUCACCGAAGAGAACUAAACAUCAAUCUAGGGCUGAGAGUUCAGGAUAACUUUGCCUACGUAAGCCAUUUAUAGAUAAGUGUUCUUCAACCUUAUUGAACAUCGUCAACUCGAUAUAUCCAUGGACCAAGAGUCUUCACCGACGGGAGCUUGCGCCGUUCUUUUUUCUUCUUCCAUAUUCUCAUCAAUUAUGUUGGGUGUUAGCAUGAAGUAAAGUUGACACCUAGCAAGGCAAUGUGUAAUGUUAAGGUACCUUCUACUUCUCGGGUUUGUUUCUUCCGAGAUGUUUUCCGCCUCCAGCCAACCACUCAAUUUACACAAUGGAGCUUUUCAAAUUGAUGCAAGAGAUGAUUGGGUACUUCUAAAAUCAGGAGCAGUAAUUUCUGAACGAGCAAGGCAGAACAGUAACACAAAGGAUGAUGCGUUUCCGCUAAUGUAAGGUUUGGCUAAUAACAUGGGCUUGGGAGAAGAUACUCAGGACCUGGAUGCUGCAAUUGAAGCUUCACUUCAAGUAAUUUUUGUUGGAACCCGAAGAAUACCACCAGGUCAGGAAGCUUCCCAUAACGACAGUAGCAGCAGAAGAAAUAUUGAUGAGGUUGCAUAAUAUUUAGAUCAAACUCUAAACUUAAUCGUAAUAAGAAUAUAUAAUUUUUUAAUAAUUUUGAAAUUUAAAAAGGUUUUUAUAGCGCCAUUCAGAAAAAACACCUUAGCUAACUUAGGUUUUGAUUAUCUGAAGAUGUUGAAGAAAUUUAAAAGUAUAUUUUGAAUUCUAAGUUGUGUACGUAGAAAUUAGUUUUGGAUUCUAGAAAAGAAAGACACUGAUCAGAUCAGUCAGCAAAGCGUUGCUUUACAGAUAUGAUAGGAAUUUUUCUUUUCCCUUGAUUUGUAUCAUACAAGUUGUAUUUUUUAAUGUAUGUGGUUGAAACAAAAUUUCUUAUCCAAUAUUGCAGUUGAAGGGGAUUAUUCUUUUGGAUUUAAUAGAUCCAAUUGGUCAAUUGUCGUAGGAGCUCCCUUGCAAUGUUGUUUAUAGUAUAUCAGUUGGUUCAAUCUACCGUCAAAAUAUCGGUGAACUAUCUGCGUUAAGAUCUCUGUAUGAAGUUUUAUUACGUAUUUCUGUUUUAGUAGCUUUUAAGAGGAAAUUGAGGUGACAUAUUUACACUUCGAGAGGUAAAAGUUUAUUUAAAAAAAUUGAGAGUCGAGAAGG